rnacentral:rRNA from 1 species
UACGUAGGGUGCAGGCGUUAAUCGGAAUUACUGGGCGUAAAGCGUGCGCAGGCGGUCUUUUAAGUUAGAUGUGAAAUCCCCGGGCUUAACCUGGGAACUGCGUUUGAAACUGGAAGGCUUGAGUGUGGCAGAGGGGGGUGGAAUUCCACGUGUAGCAGUGAAAUGCGUAGAGAUGUGGAGGAACACCGAUGGCGAAGGCAGCCCCCUGGGCUAACACUGACGCUCAUGCACGAAAGCGUGGGGAGCAAACAGG